GAUGAACGCUGGCGGCGUGCCUAAUACAUGCAAGUCGAGCGAACAGACGAGGAGCUUGCUCCUUUGACGUUAGCGGCGGACGGGUGAGUAACACGUGGGUAACCUACCUAUAAGACUGGGAUAACUUCGGGAAACCGGAGCUAAUCCCGGAUAAUAUUUCGAACCGCAUGGUUCGAUAGUGAAAGAUGGCUUUGCUAUCACUUAUAGAUGGACCUGCGCCGUAUUAGCUAGUUGGUAAGGUAACGGCUUACCAAGGCAACGAUACGUAGCCGACCUGAGAGAGUGAUCGGCCACACUGGAACUGAGACACGGUCCAGACUCCUACGGGAGGCAGCAGUAGGGAAUCGUCCGCAAUGGGCGAAAGCCUGACGGAGCAACGCCGCGUGAGUGAUGAAGGUCUUCGGAUCGUAAAACUCUGUUAUUAGGGAAGAACAAAUGUGGAAGUAACUGUGCACGUCGUGACGGUACCUAAUCAGAAAGCCACGGCUAACUACGUG
rnacentral:rRNA from 1 species